UCAUUGCUUGGUCUUUUUUUU
rnacentral:piRNA from 1 species